CUGAAAUGGUUGAUGCUGGCAACAGAGUCUGACUCCACCUGCAGUGCUCCUGAGAUUCAGAGAGAAGUGGCACCCAGAAGACAUAUGGAGCAAUGGUCUUGGUUGGAGAAAAGAGGAAGGAGGAGAAGAGCAGCGCAGACUUGGGGCUGCAGAACAUCUGAGGCAUUUAGUGACCUGAAUCGGCAAAAGUAAAAGUGGUAAAGGCAAAGUCUUAGGACACAUAUCUCCCUAUGAACCAGGCAACCCUACCCUGUACUGUAGCUAAUCAGUGUGUAUUAAUCAGCAACUAUGGGCCACGGGGAUGCCUGUGAUAAAGCAAUCAAUGGGUCAGCAUAAAAAC
rnacentral:lncRNA from 1 species